CUGGGAUGUUUUUUGCUAUUGUGGCUUCCUUACAGAAAGUUUGGCCUUGAAUGCCUCAUCACAAGUUAAAACAAAAAAACCAUCCUUCUUUGAUGCUGCAGGUUUGGUUGGAGGUUUCACUCUAGGAAUAUCUCCAAGAAUGUUUGUUGCAUCAUUGGUAACUAGCUGAUAUUUCCUGAACUGGAUUGCUGAACAUCAAUGUAAGUAUUCAAAUGUUGGAGCAAGGCGAACUCUCAAGACUAAACAGCUUCCAGGUCAUUGCGCGUCACAACAUAGCAAUACGGCGGACCGUUUGUGUAAUAAAUGCAGUUCUUUUCAGAAUAUUCGUCUCAAAUGUAAAUAAAAGUAAUAAACAACAGUGUUAAAAAGUUCACUGGAAAAUGAACUUGGUUGGUAUGUGAUCAAAUCUUCUGAGAAGCCCUUUGGGCUUCACAGGAUUUGAUCACGUGACCAACCAAGUUCAUUUCCCAGAGAACUUUUUAACAUUGUUGUUUAUUUCUUAAAUGAUAAUUUUUUUUCCUAGUAACGUGUAGAAAUGAU